UCACGUUCCUUGUAUCAUAUAUCAAGCCUUUAACAAACCUUAUCUAUUCAACCUCUAUUUCCAGUGAGCAAAAAGACAUAUCUACAACCUUACUCGUCAUGAUCAUAUAUUUUGCUAAGGGGUUUCUAUUUCUACAAACAUUUCUUCUAUUUGGUUUUUCCCAGUUUGGCACUUCGCAAAAAAUCUCUCAUGGGUUUCUUACUAUCAGCAACGCCAUCAGAGAUGGUCACUUUUUAGUCUCUGAAGGAGAAACCUUUGCACUUGGUUUCUUUCGUCCCGGAGUGUCCACCAACCGCUAUGUUGGAAUUCGGUAUAAUAAAGCUCCACAACAACCCGUGGUGUGGGUUGCAAACAGAGACAAUCCUAUCAAUGAUUCUUCUGGGGUUCUCUCAAUUGAUGCUCAUGGAAACCUAGUACUCCAUGUCAAAGAUCGGAACCAAUCCAUCUGGUCCACAAAUAUUACCUCAAAAUCAAUCGACAACAGUACUUUUGCUCAGCUCUUGGAUUCAGGAAAUCUGCAAUUGGUUCUUAACAAAACUGGUGAGGUACUAUGGCAAAGCUUUGAUUAUCCAACUGAUACAAAUCUUCCAAACAUGAAACUUGGGCUGGACAGAAGAACUGGUCUGAGCCGAAUCCUAACAUCUUCGAAGUCCAAAGAUGAUCAGGAACUGGAAAUUGUUCCUAUGUGCUCAACACCAAUAGCUCCUCCCCGGAGUUGUAUUUGUACAAAAGUAACAUUUUGCUGUGGCGUUCUGGUCAUUGGAAUGGAAUUGGAUGGAGCGGGAUACCCCAACUCUCAAAAUCUAAUUUGCUCUUCAAUUCUAGUCUGGUGAACAACCAAACUGAGACUACUAUAAGUUGGACUGAAAUCCUUCAAGGAACAUUCCAAAGAUCAGUGAUAAACGAAUCGGGGUAUAUUGAACGCCUUGUGAGUAGGGACACUAGGGACGGAGGAAAAAUAUGGCUUUCUCUGGGGAAAAUGCCUGACACACUGUGUGAUAAUUACGGCAAGUGUGGUACAUUUGGAAAAUGUCAACUUCAAAAUGAUACUAAAUUUGAAUGCACUUGUCUACCUGGGUUCCAACCGAAGUCACCAAGUGAAUGGUUUUCGAGAAAUGCAUCUGGUGGGUGUGUGAGAAAGCGUGGACAGGAAUCUAUAUGCAAGAGCGGUGAUGGGUUUGCGAAGGUAGAAAAUGUGAAGCUUCCGGAUAGUUCACUUGCACAACUUGAUGAGAAUCUGAGUUUGAAGGACUGUCAGCAACAAUGCUUGCAGAAUUGUAAUUGCACGGCGUAUGGAGGUGUGGAUACAAAGGAGCAAGUCGGGUGUUUGAGAUGGCAUGGUGAUUUGAUAGACACGAGUGUGUUAGAUGGGGGUCAAAAUUUGUACGUACGAGUGGAUGCGCUUGAGUUGGGUCAUUCCAAUGGGUUCUUUGCCGACAAGAGGAGGCUAGCAAUUAUGAUAGUGGCCCUACUUGUUACUCCAUUACUAAUUUUCCUCUGUGCAUAUUGGUUGAUUAGGAGAAAAAGGAAAGCAAGGGAAAGACAACUCAAAUUUUUCAUUGAUGCUACUACAAGUUCAACAACCUUUCAAGAUUCUCAGAAGCUUGAUGAAGGUAGAAGAAAACCAGAUUUACCAAUUUUUGACAUAAGCACCAUACUUGCAGCAACAGACAAUUUCUCACCUACUAAAAGACUUGGUCAAGGUGGCUUUGGCCCGGUCUACAAGGGCCAACUAGCCAAUGGACAGGAAAUAGCAGUAAAAGCACUCUCAAGAAGUUCAAGGCAGGGUACAGAAGAAUUUAAGAAUGAAGUCAUGCUAAUAGCCAAACUCCAGCAUAGGAAUCUUGUGAGGCUUUUUGGUUGCUGCAUCCAUAAAGAAGAGAAGAUGUUAAUCUAUGAAUACAUGCCAAAUAAAAGCCUAGACUUUUUCAUCUUUGACGAAAUCGGAAGGCAAUCGUUGGAUUGGAGUAAGCGAUUUGAAAUUAUUUCUGGUAUUGCUCGAGGAGUCUUAUAUCUUCAUCAAGAUUCAAGACUAAAAAUCAUCCAUAGAGAUCUAAAAACAAGCAAUGUACUACUCGAUGCUGCGAUGAAUCCAAAAAUUUCAGAUUUUGGUUUGGCUAGAAUGUUUGGAGAUGACCAAAUUGAAGCAAAUACAAAGAGAGUUGUUGGCACCUAUGGAUAUAUGGCACCAGAGUAUGCAAUGGAAGGAUUAUAUUCUACCAAAUCAGAUGUGUUUAGCUAUGGUGUCUUAACACUAGAGAUAAUUAGUGGCAAGAGAAAUAAUCACUAUCAUGUUGCAAGUCCAUGGCUAAAUUUAAUAGGACAUGCUUGGGAUUUAUGGAUGGAAGGCAAAGCCUUGGACAUAGUCGACUCAUCAUUGGGUCAAGCAUAUCCUGCUCAUGAAGUUUCAAGAUGUAUUCAAAUUGGGCUUUUAUGUGUGCAAGAACAAGCAAUGGAUCGCCCAACCAUGAUUGAAAUUGUAUUCAUGCUGGGAAAUGAAACACCUCUUCCCGCACCAAAAAAGCCAGCAUUUAUUAAUAGAGGAAAUAUAAAUAAUGGUCAAGACUCAUCAAGUUCCAUAGGAGCACCUGGUUCAAUCAAUGAUGUAACCAUGUCUGUGCUUGAAGCUCGUUGAAGUAUGCACUUAUUACUUGUACUACAAUUUCAUAUUUGAAGAAAUACAAUGCUUAUGGUACUCUAUAGAACACUCUUGUGGUGUUCUACCAAUAAACUUGUGGUAGACGUUUCAGUUUUCUGUGGUUUGAAAGAACACUUACUAUAUUAUAAUCUCUUCGUUAUAGUUCAAG